AUGGCGUCCGAUGUCAAGAGCAGGAUCCUUGUGAUCGGCGCGACGGGGUACAUCGGCAGGCACGUCGUCGCGGCGAGCGCGCGGCUCGGCCACCCCACCCUGGCGCUCGUCCGGGACGCCGUCCCCUCCGACCCGGCCAAGGCGCAGCUGCUCAAGACCUUCCAGGACUCGGGCGUGACGCUCCUCACGGGCGAUCUCUACGACCACGGCAGCCUGGUGAGCGCCGUCAAGGCGGCCGACGUCGUCAUCUCCACGCUGGGCGCGAUGCAGAUCGCCGACCAGACCAAGCUCAUCGCCGCCAUCAAGGAGGCCGGCAACGUGAAGAGGUUCUUCCCGUCGGAGUUCGGGCUGGAUGUGGACCGCACCGGCGCCGUGGAGCCGGCCAAGUCCAUCUUCGCCCUCAAGGCGGGCAUCCGUCGCGCCAUCGAGGCCGAGGGCAUCCCCUACACCUACGUGGUGGCCAACUACUUCGCCGGGUACUCGCUCCCCACCAUCGGGCAGGUGCUCUCCCCGGCGCCCCCGACCGACAGCGUCGUCAUCCUCGGCGACGGCGAGACCAAGGUCGUCUUCGUGGACGAGGCGGACAUCGGCGCGUACACGGUCCUGGCGGCGGACGACCCCCGGGCGGAGAACAAGGUGCUGUACAUCAAGCCGCCGGCCAACACGCUGUCGCACAACGAGCUGGUGUCGCUGUGGGAGAAGAAGACCGGCAAGACGUUCCAGAGGGUGUACGUCCCCGAGGACGCCGUCCUCAAGCAGAUCCAAGAGGCGCCGAUCCCGAUGAACAUCAUCUUCUCGAUCGGGCACGCGUCGUACAUCAAGGGGGACCAGACCAACAUCGAGAUCGCGCCGUCGUUCGGCGUGGAGGCGAGCGAGCUGUACCCUGACGUCAAGUACACCACCGUCGACGACUUACUCAACAGGUUCCUCUGA
rnacentral:rRNA from 1 species